UACAGGGGGUGCAAACGUUGCUCGGAAUCAUUGGGCGUAAAGCGCACGUAGGCGGUUCGUUAUGUCGGAUGUGAAAGCCCUUGGCUUAACCGAGGAAGUGCAUCCGAAACUGGCGAGCUAGAGUACUAAAGAGGAUCGCGGAAUUCCCGGUGUAGAGGUGAAAUUCGUAGAUAUCGGGAGGAACACCUGUGGCGAAAGCGGCGCACUGGACCACAACUGACGCUGAGGCGCGAAAGCUAGGGGAGCAAACAGG
rnacentral:rRNA from 1 species